rnacentral:lncRNA from 1 species
UUUUUUUUUUUUUUUUUACAAAGCUGGGGGCCAGGGAAUGACUCCAAAAAGACACUUGCUCUCAAGCUUGAACACCCAAGUUUGAUCACCAAGACUCACAUGGUGGAAGGAAAGAACUGACUCACACAAGUUGUCUUCUGACCUCCUCCACAUGUGUCCUUGUGUCUCUGGCUGGUUCUUGAGUCUGAAAGUUGGUUAGGGCCUGGCACUUGCUGGGCAAGAACUCUACCACUGAGCCACACCCCCAGCCCCUCACUGGGGGAUUCUAAGCAGGGGCUCUACCACUGAGCCACACCCCCAGCCCCUCACUGGGGGAUUCUAAGCAGGGGCUCUACCACUGAGCCACGCCUCCAGCCCCUCACUGGGGGAUUCUAGGCAGGGGCUCUACCACUGAGCCACGCCCCCAGCCCCUCACUGGGGGAUUCUAGGCAGGGGCUCUACCACGGAGCCACACCCCCAGCUGCUCAAUGGGGGAUUCUAGGCAGGGGCUCUACCACUGAGCCACACCCCACCCCUCCCUGGGGGAUUCUAGGUAGGUGCUCUACCACUGAGCUAACCCACUUGCCCUAGACAUAAUCUCUUUUUUUCACUAUUUCCCAUCUCUAAUUAUUUGAUUCAAUAGUUGUGAAACUUUUAGACAGAGGGCAAAUGUAAAUACUUCAGACAGGAGGUGUGUCUGUCUCCUAGGACAAGCUCCUCCACCCUCCCUUUCUCUUCCUGUGACUUCUGCAGGCAGGCGAGACCUGGAUCUCCAAGGGUUGUACCCAAAGCUGUGCCUGUAUGGGAGGGGCCGUUCAGUGCCAGAAUUCCCAGUGUCCCCCAGGGACUUACUGCAAGGACAGUAUCGAUGGCAGCAGUAACUGCACCGAAAUCACUCUGCAGUGCCCUGCUCACAGCUACUUCACCACCUGCCUUCCCUCCUGUCCCGCUUCCUGUUCCAAUUUGGAUGGCAGCUGUGUGGAGUCCAACUUCAAAGCCCCCUUUAUCUGCAAGGAGGGCUGUAUCUGUCAACCCGGCUACUUCUUAAAUAAUGACAAGUGUGUGCUCCGAAUUCAGUGCGGCUGCAAAGACGCCCAGGGCGGCCUCAUCCCCGUGAGUGGGCGUGGAAAGUGGGAUUGGUGGGUGGCUGAGGAGAUGGCUUACUGGGUAAAAUGUUUGCCUUGCAAGUGUGAGCAUCUGAGUUUGAACCUCAAACUCAGUAAGCUGGACAUGGUAGCCUCGAGCUUCUACUUGGAGACAAGAGAAUCCCUGGACUAGCUAGUUUUGUGAUUAGACAGAGACAAAAACAGACACCCUCACAAUAUACGAGAGGGGUGAGGACCUACAUUCUGGGUUAUUUUCUGACCUUCACACACACAUGUACAAACACUCCCACACAUGUGAAC